GCUGGCGGCGUGCCUAACACAUGCAAGUCGAGCGGAGAAUGCAGAUAUGUUUACAUAGAAGCGUUCUUAGCGGCGGACGGGUGAGUAACACGUGGGUAACCUGCCUCAAAGUGGGGGAUAGCCUUCCGAAAGGAAGAUUAAUACCGCAUAAGCCUACAGUGCCGCAUGGUACAGCAGGAAAAAGAGCAAUCCGCUUUGAGAUGGACCCCGCGGCGCAUUAGCUAGUUGGUGAGGUAACGGCUCACCAAGGCGACGAUGCGUAGCCGACCUGAGAGGGUGAUCGGCCACAUUGGAACUGAGACACGGUCCAGACUCCUACGGGAGGCAGCAGUGGGGAAUAUUGCACAAUGGGCGAAAGCCUGAUGCAGCAACGCCGCGUGAGUGAUGAAGG
rnacentral:rRNA from 1 species